AAUCCUACGGGAGGCAGCAGUAGGGAAUCUUCCACAAUGGACGAAAGUCUGAUGGAGCAACGCCGCGUGAGUGAAGAAGGGUUUCGGCUCGUAAAGCUCUGUUGGUAGUGAAGAAAGAUAGAGGUAGUAACUGGCCUUUAUUUGACGGUAAUUACUUAGAAAGUCACGGCUAACUACGUGCCAGCAGCCGCGGUAAUACGUAGGUAGCAAGCGUUGUCCGGAUUUAUUGGGCGUAGAGGGAACGCAGGCGGGCUUUUUAGUCUGAUGUGAAAGACUUUGGCUUAACCG
rnacentral:rRNA from 1 species